UCCUCUCUAGUGUAGGAUUACAUUGAGUUUAUUGUUGUUGUUAAAGAUUUUAUGUCCAAAUUCAUGCGGUCAACAGCCUUCCUGCCCCGGUAGGAGUAAGGUCUGCGUACAUAUUACAAUUACCCUCCCCAGACCCCACUUGUGCAAUUAUACUAGAUUGUUGUUGCCACUAUAAUUCAAUGGCAUUUUUAUAUGUUAUGCAUAUCUUUAGUUCAGGACCACAAA
rnacentral:lncRNA from 1 species